rnacentral:rRNA from 1 species
AAAUUGAAGAGUUUGAUCAUGGCUCAGAUUGAACGCUGGCGGCAGGCCUAACACAUGCAAGUCGAACGGUAACAGGAAGCAGCUUGCUGCUUCGCUGACGAGUGGCGGACGGGUGAGUAAUGUCUGGGAAACUGCCUGAUGGAGGGGGAUAACUACUGGAAACGGUGGCUAAUACCGCAUAAUGUCGCAGGACCAAAGAGGGGGACCUUCGGGCCUCUUGCCAUCAGAUGUGCCCAGAUGGGAUUAGCUAGUUGGUGAGGUAACGGCUCACCAAGGCG